rnacentral:rRNA from 1 species
AUUGAACGCUGGCGGCAGGCCUAACACAUGCAAGUCGAGCGAGCGGCGGACGGGUGAGUAAUGUCUGGGAAACUGCCUGAUGGAGGGGGAUCACGACUGGAAACGGUAGCUAAUAUCGCAUACCAUCAGAUGUGCCCAGAUGGGAUUAGCUAGUAGGUGGGGUAAUGGCUCACCUAGGCGACGAUACCUAGCUGGUCUGAGAGGAUGUCCAGCCACACUGUAACUGAGCAACGGUCCAGACGCCUACGUGAGGCAGCAGUGGGGAGUAUUGCACAAUGGGCGCAAGCCUGAUGCAGCCAUGCCGCGUGUAUGAAGAAGGCCUUCGGGUUGUAAAGUACUUUCAGCGAGGAGGCGUUACUCGCAGAAGAAGCACCGGCUAACUCCGUGCCAGCGGCCGCGGUAAUUC